UUCCCUUUGGUAAUUAAUCCCACUAUUUUAUCUUAUACCAUUGCUUUUCUUCUACUCACCACAAUGAGUAAUAUAUAGACAAAUGUAUGCAGCAGCAGUCUGUGUCUCUUCUUCCUUAUUGUGCCUUGCUGUUGCUCUCCUAUUAGCUGUAGCUGUGCAGUCGUCUAGACACAGUGUGACAGGAACUUGAUUACCUUGAUAGCAGGUACAGAUGCAGCUUUAGCACUUGCUGUCUGCCUCACGUUUGUAACACCCUCGCUCCUUCCGGUCACUUGUUCCAGGGGAGGAAUGACAGCAGCAUUUCUGAGCUGUUCUUGUGUUUUCUCCCAGAACACUCAGGGAAAGCAGACUUCGUGAUCUCCAUGCUAACUACCAGCCUGCCCGCUGCCAGUUCUCCCUACUUCUGCCAGUGAUGACAUUCAGCUCGCUCCUCCACACAGGAUACAGCACUGAUUCCUCAUUAUGUAAGGCAGUCUAGGUCAAGUGUAGGAGAGGCACUGCUGGCCUGAGCAAGCUAGUGGAUUGCUCCCUCAGCUUCAUGCUUCAUGGGGUCUGGAAGCUGGAUCCUGAUCUUUGCUACAUCUUCUUGGCACAAGAAAUUUGCCAGGUGGACAUCAAGCUCUUUCAGCAUCUUUUCUAAAAUGGAUUUCUUCUCUGCUGCUUGUCUGAGUAUUUUCCUAUGCAGAAGAGUAAAUGGUAAUU
rnacentral:lncRNA from 1 species